AAUGUAAGUGAAAGACUGAAGUGAAACUCUACACUGAUGCGGCCUAGUCCAGAUCCGGGAUCCGGACCCGCGGUUUCCAGCGCACCGACGGAGCCCAGUUUAAAGUGACGGACGUGCCCCGCAGCCAAUCAGCGCCCGCCGUGCGCCAAAGCUGUGUUUAUCCCACCGGACCGACCAAUCAGAGCGGAGCUCGGCGGCCGAGUGCGUCAUGAGAGCAGAAUGUGAGUGUGGGCUGCCUGUUCCCCGCUCCCAUCCCCCAACCCCAGCGAGCAAUGGCGGCCGCUUUUUGCCGCUUUGUCCUUCUCAUGCUCGGCUUGUAAAAGAGUAGAACACUGGGAAGGCUCCAUUGUGACGGGGAGAGGAUGGAAACUGCAUCUCCCAGCAGCCACUGGGGCUGACCUGAAGGAGAAGAAGCUGGUGGAGGAGAAGGAGAACGGCAAAGAUGCUGCCACCAACGGAAAGGAGAACGAGGAGAACGGGGAGCCCGAGAUAGAUGACGACGACGACGUGGACGAGGAGGAAGAGGAGGAGGAAGAUGAUGAUGGAGCCGAAGAGGAAGAUGAGGAGGAAGACGAAGAGGAGACCGAGGGAGGCACAAAACGGGGACCGGACGACGAGGAAGAUGACGAGGUGAGACAGUGACGCCAGAGGGCGACCGAUCAGGACGUGAGCUCGCCGGCUCCAUAACUAACCGCAUCUUCUUCUUCUCUGCUUCCAGGAAGUCACUGCCAAGAAGCCGAAAACCGACGACGAUUGAUGCGUUUUCCCCCCGCACCGUCCUGCUGAACCACUUCCUGAUUCUUCACCUCUGACCGUUUUUCUGAGUCACAGGUGGAGGGGCUGGAGGACUGAUCUAAAGGAAAAAAAUAAUAAAAAAAUCCAACAUGGUCAUUAGCAAGUAGAGUUCAACAAACACCCACCACGGCCACACUCUCGAUCUCCCCUCAAAGCUGCAAAACAAAUUUUCUAGAGGAACCCGCCACGACAUCGACGCAGAAAUCCGGCUUCUCUUCAACAACACGAAAGGAGAAUUUGUUUGUAUUUUUAUUUACAUUUUAUAUUUUUGUACAUAUUGUUAGGAGGGGGUCCGAUUCUCUCUUGGCAGCGAUCUCGUCAGACCAAAUCGGUGCUUCUUUAACAAAAGAUUUUACUUGGUUGACCAUGUUACGAUAUCUCAACAGAUACUAGAAAAACCUGUAAAAAAGUUAAAAAAAAAUGAAAGAACCUCUUAAGCCGUUGAACUCAGAGCAUUCCAGUAAAUUUAAUGUAUGUACUUUAGCUGUACCAUAACUAGUUUGUUUGUAUGGGAGGGUAAGGCCAAAGAAAAGAGCCUCUUUUCUUUUUCUUUUAUUUUGUUUUUGUCAGCGACUUUUUGUUUUAUGACGGCCUGUUUUGAUGUAUGUGCGAAGUUUGUUGUUUGACAAUAAACCGGACUUUUAUUUUGUGAGUUGUACUUUGUUUCCCAGCUCGUUAUGUUUUUGGUUUCUUUUAAUGUGGCGGUCCAGCUUCGGCACAGGGGUCAGAGGUCGGCAGCUGCAGUACUUCAGGUGAAAGUAUCCACGUGCACAUUUACUCACAGCUGCUGAGUCCAGAACACAAGCACUUAACAUGUCGCAGAUUAAAUGAACGGUCCCCAACCUGUGGGCCGGGGCCCCAUGCAGGCUCACAAGAUUUCCUGUUGAGUACACAAGGUAUUUAGGCUAAUAAGUACAUUUACUCAGGUAUUACUGUUACACCCCCCCCCCAGCAGUACAGACCUUUAUUCCAUAUUAAACACAAGAUGCAGCGGUUCUGAAUCUGAAGGUCCAGAAAAACAAAGUCUGAGAUCAAUGAGAGGAGGAGGUGAAGGUUUUAAAGCUCCUCAGUGUCGUAAGCCAGAGAAUCAAACAGUAAUCAAUAAUCAAUUCACAUUAUUUCUAAUAACAUACCAGUGCUGAGGACGAUACCUUUGUACUGCACAGUGAGUACUUUUACUUCAGUUUUACUGUUUAUG
ensembl:lncRNA prothymosin alpha b